GAUGUGUUGUUGUCGAACCUUUCAGCUAUCCACUCUAACUUUGCACAUACUUUUCUGGCAGGUCUGAAACCGUCAAUAACCAAAUCUUUGAGGGAAGCAGGUAACUGUCCUAAGAAUAUAAGAGAGUCACAGCCAAUAAUUUUCAAAUACUGGAGAUUAGAUAAGCUAGCAUGACAGCUCAUACUCUCCUCAUUCUCAACCCUAGAAGAAGAACAAGCCUCUCCCACAUUGAGCAGCAUCUGCAAUUUGUUGCACCGAAUUAUUUCUAGCCUUACUAGAGUUGGAGGUAGCUGGUGUC
rnacentral:misc_RNA from 1 species